rnacentral:rRNA from 1 species
AGUGAACGCUGGCGGUAGGCCUAACACAUGCAAGUCGAACGGCAGCACAGUAAGAGCUUGCUCUUACGGGUGGCGAGUGGCGGACGGGUGAGGAAUACAUCGGAAUCUACUUUUUCGUGGGGGAUAACGUAGGGAAACUUACGCUAAUACCGCAUACGACCUACGGGUGAAAGCAGGGGAUCUUCGGACCUCGCGCGAUUGAAUGAGCCGAUGUCGGAUUAGCUAGUUGGCGGGGUAAAGGCCCACCAAGGCGACGAUCCGUAGCUGGUCUGAGAGGAUGAUCAGCCACACUGGAACUGAGACACGGUCCAGACUCCUACGGGAGGCAGCAGUGGGGAAUAUUGGACAAUGGGCGCAAGCCUGAUCCAGCCAUACCGCGUGGGUGAAGAAGGCCUUCGGGUUGUAAAGCCCUUUUGUUGGGAUAGAAAAGCAGCAGGUUAAUACCCCGCUGUUCUGACGGUACCCAAAGAAUAAGCACCGGCUAACUUCGUG